GAGUAUUUGGGUGUCUAAACCCUGAUGCGGAAUGAAAGUAAAGGCGGGCUUGUCUCGCUGAGGUAGGAACCUUCCGGGUCUCCUGGAGGGGGCACUAUCGACCGAUCAACACUUGUGUAAGGAUUUGAGUAAGAGCAUAUCCGUUGGGACCCGAAAGAUGGUGAUCUAUGCCUGAACAGGAUGAAGCCAGGGGAAACUCUGGUGGAAGUCCGUAGCGAUACUGACGUGCAAAUCGUUCGUCUGAUUUGGGUAUAGGGGCGAAAGACUAAUCGAACCAUCUAGUAGCUGGUUCCCUCCGAAGUUUCCCUCAGGAUAGCUGGAACUAAAAGUUUAAACAGUUGCAUCGGGUAAAGCUAAUGAUUAGAGGUACUCGGAAUGAAACAUUCUGAACCUAUUCUCAAACUUUAAAUAGGUGCGAACCCUGUAGAUACUUAACUGAUCUCGGGGAUCGAAUGGAUAGUUCUUAGUGGGCCAUUUUUGGUAAGCAGAACUGGCGAUGCGGGAUGAACCGGACGUUGACUUACGGUGCC
rnacentral:rRNA from 1 species